rnacentral:rRNA from 1 species
UAGGGAAUAUUGCACAAUGGGGGAAACUCUGAUGCAGCGACGCCGCGUGAAGGAAGAAGUAUCUCGGUAUGUAAACUUCUAUCAGCAGGGAAGACAAUGACGGUACCUGACUAAGAAGCCCCGGCUAACUACGUGCCAGCAGCCGCGGUAAUACGUAGGGGGCAAGCGUUAUCCGGAUUUACUGGGUGUAAAGGGGAGCGUAGACGGAUCCGCAAGUCUGGAGUGAAAGCCCGGGGCUCAACCCCGGACUGCUUUGGAAACUGUAGGUCUAGAGUGCCGGAGAGGUAAGCGGAAUUCCUAGUGUAGCGGUGAAAUGCGUAGAUAUUAGGAGGAACACCAGUGGCGAAGGCGAUUCUCUGGGCCAAGACUGACGCUGAGGCGCGAAAGCGUGGGGAGCAAACAGGAUUAGAUACCC